rnacentral:miRNA from 1 species
GGAUGCCCAGCUAAAUUUAAAUUUCAGACAAACGAUGACUAAUUUUUUUUCAGUUUAGUUAUGUCCCAUGCAAUAUUUGGGACAUACUUAUACUAAAAAUUAUUCAUUGUUUAUAAAUUCAAAUUUA